GACGAACGCUGGCGGCGUGCCUAACACAUGCAAGUCGAACGGGGUAUUUCUUCGGAGAUACUUAGUGGCGAACGGGUGAGUAACGCGUGAGAAACCUGCCUUUCAGUGGGGGACAACAGUUGGGAACGACUGCUAAUACCGCAUAAUGUUAUUUGGGGGCAUCCUCGAAUAACCAAAGAUUUAUUGCUGAAAGAUGGUCUCGCGUCUGAUUAGCUAGAUGGCGGGGUAACGGCCCACCAUGGCGACGAGCAGUAGCCGGUCUGAGAGGAUGAACGGGCACAUUGGGACUGAGAUACGGCCCAGACGCCUACGGGAGGCAGCAGUGGGGAAUAUUGGGCAAUGGGCGAAAGCCUGACCCAGCAACGCCGCGUGAAGGAAGAAGGCCUUCGGGUUGUAAACUUCUUUUAGCAGGGACGAAUUUUGACGGUACCUGCAGAAAAAGCAACGGCUAACUACGUGCCAGCCGCCGCGGUAACAC
rnacentral:rRNA from 1 species